rnacentral:rRNA from 1 species
GAUUAAGUUAUUAAGGGCGCACGGUGGAUGCCUUGGCACUAGAAGCCGAUGAAGGACGUUACUAACGACGAUAUGCUUUGGGGAGCUGUAAGUAAGCUUUGAUCCAGAGAUUUCCGAAUGGGGAAACCCAGCAUGAGUUAUGUCAUGUUAUCGAUAUGUGAAUACAUAGCAUAUCAGAAGGCACACCCGGAGAACUGAAACAUCUUAGUACCCGGAGGAAGAGAAAGAAAAUUCGAUUCCCUUAGUAGCGGCGAGCGAAACGGGAAGAGCCCAAACCAACAAGCUUGCUUGUUGGGGUUGUAGGACACUCUAUACGGAGUUACAAAGGACGACAUUAGACGAAUCAUCUGGAAAGAUGAAUCAAAGAAGGUAAUAAUCCUGUAGUCGAAAAUGUUGUCUCUCUUGAGUGGAUCCUGAGUACGACGGAGCACGUGAAAUUCCGUCGGAAUCUGGGAGGACCAUCUCCUAAGGCUAAAUACUCUCUAGUGACCGAUAGUGAACCAGUACCGUGAGGGAAAGGUGAAAAGCACCCCGGAAGGGGAGUGAAAUAGAACCUGAAACCGUGUGCUUACAAGUAGUCAGAGCCCGUUAAUGGGUGAUGGCGUGCCUUUUGUAGAAUGAACCGGCGAGUUACGAUUUGAUGCAAGGUUAAGCAGUAAAUGUGGAGCCGUAGCGAAAGCGAGUCUGAAUAGGGCGUUUAGUAUUUGGUCGUAGACCCGAAACCAGGUGAUCUACCCUUGGUCAGGUUGAAGUUCAGGUAACACUGAAUGGAGGACCGAACCGACUUACGUUGAAAAGUGAGCGGAUGAACUGAGGGUAGCGGAGAAAUUCCAAUCGAACCUGGAGAUAGCUGGUUCUCUCCGAAAUAGCUUUAGGGCUAGCCUCAAGUGAUGAUUAUUGGAGGUAGAGCACUGUUUGGACGAGGGGCCCUCUCGGGUUACCGAAUUCAGACAAACUCCGAAUGCCAAUUAAUUGAACUUGGGAGUCAGAACAUGGGUGAUAAGGUCCAUGUUCGAAAGGGAAACAGCCCAGACCACCAGCUAAGGUCCCAAAAUAUAUGUUAAGUGGAAAAGGAUGUGGCGUUGCCCAGACAACUAGGAUGUUGGCUUAGAAGCAGCCAUCAUUUAAAGAGUGCGUAAUAGCUCACUAGUCGAGUGACACUGCGCCGAAAAUGUACCGGGGCUAAACAUAUUACCGAAGCUGUGGAUUGUCCUUUGGACAAUGGUAGGAGAGCGUUCUAAGGGCGUUGAAGCAUGAUCGUAAGGACAUGUGGAGCGCUUAGAAGUGAGAAUGCCGGUGUGAGUAGCGAAAGACGGGUGAGAAUCCCGUCCACCGAUUGACUAAGGUUUCCAGAGGAAGGCUCGUCCGCUCUGGGUUAGUCGGGUCCUAAGCUGAGGCCGACAGGCGUAGGCGAUGGAUAACAGGUUGAUAUUCCUGUACCACCUAUAAUCGUUUUAAUCGAUGGGGGACGCAGUAGGAUAGGCGAAGCGUGCGAUUGGAUUGCACGUCUAAGCAGUAAGGCUGAGUAUUAGGCAAAUCCGGUACUCGUUAAGGCUGAGCUGUGAUGGGGAGAAGACAUUGUGUCUUCGAGUCGUUGAUUUCACACUGCCGAGAAAAGCCUCUAGAUAGAAAAUAGGUGCCCGUACCGCAAACCGACACAGGUAGUCAAGAUGAGAAUUCUAAGGUGAGCGAGCGAACUCUCGUUAAGGAACUCGGCAAAAUGACCCCGUAACUUCGGGAGAAGGGGUGCUCUUUAGGGUUAACGCCCAGAAGAGCCGCAGUGAAUAGGCCCAAGCGACUGUUUAUCAAAAACACAGGUCUCUGCUAAACCGUAAGGUGAUGUAUAGGGGCUGACGCCUGCCCGGUGCUGGAAGGUUAAGAGGAGUGGUUAGCUUUUGCGAAGCUACGAAUCGAAGCCCCAGUAAACGGCGGCCGUAACUAUAACGGUCCUAAGGUAGCGAAAUUCCUUGUCGGGUAAGUUCCGACCCGCACGAAAGGCGUAACGAUUUGGGCACUGUCUCAACGAGAGACUCGGUGAAAUCAUAGUACCUGUGAAGAUGCAGGUUACCCGCGACAGGACGGAAAGACCCCGUGGAGCUUUACUGUAGCCUGAUAUUGAAAUUCGGCACAGCUUGUACAGGAUAGGUAGGAGCCUUUGAAACGUGAGCGCUAGCUUACGUGGAGGCGCUGGUGGGAUACUACCCUAGCUGUGUUGGCUUUCUAACCCGCACCACUUAUCGUGGUGGGAGACAGUGUCAGGCGGGCAGUUUGACUGGGGCGGUCGCCUCCUAAAAGGUAACGGAGGCGCUCAAAGGUUCCCUCAGAAUGGUUGGAAAUCAUUCAUAGAGUGUAAAGGCAUAAGGGAGCUUGACUGCGAGACCUACAAGUCGAGCAGGGUCGAAAGACGGACUUAGUGAUCCGGUGGUUCCGCAUGGAAGGGCCAUCGCUCAACGGAUAAAAGCUACCCCGGGGAUAACAGGCUUAUCUCCCCAAGAGUUCACAUCGACGGGGAGGUUUGGCACCUCGAUGUCGGCUCAUCGCAUCCUGGGGCUGUAGUCGGUCCCAAGGGUUGGGCUGUUCGCCCAUUAAAGCGGUACGCGAGCUGGGUUCAGAACGUCGUGAGACAGUUCGGUCCCUAUCCGUCGUGGGCGUAGGAAAUUUGAGAGGAGCUGUCCUUAGUACGAGAGGACCGGGAUGGACAUACCUCUGGUGUACCAGUUGUCGUGCCAACGGCAUAGCUGGGUAGCUAUGUGUGGACGGGAUAAGUGCUGAAAGCAUCUAAGCAUGAAGCCCCCCUCAAGAUGAGAUUUCCCAACUUCGGUUAUAAGAUCCCUCAAAGAUGAUGAGGUUAAUAGGUUCGAGGUGGAAGCAUGGUGACAUGUGGAGCUGACGAAUACUAAUCGAUCGAAGACUUAAUCAA